CCUACGGGUGGCUGCAGUAGGGAAUAUUGGGCAAUGGGCGCAAGCCUGACCCAGCCAUGCCGCGUGCAGGACGAAGGCCCUCCGGGUUGUAAACUGCUUUUGCAGGGGAAGAACCGCUCCGAUGCGUCGGGGUUUGACGGUACUCUGCGAAUCAGCCACGGCUAACUACGUGCCAGCAGCCGCGGUAAUACGUAGGUGGCAAGCGUUGUCCGGAUUUAUUGGGUUUAAAGGGUGCGUAGGCGGGCUGUUAAGUCAGGGGUGAAAGACGGUGGCUC
rnacentral:rRNA from 1 species